rnacentral:miRNA from 1 species
UCUACGGCCAUGCCACCCUGAACAAGCUUGAUCCCAUCUGAUCUCGGAAGCUAAGCAGGGUCGGGCCUGGUUAGUUCUUAGAUGGG